UACGGAGGGUGCAAGCGUUAUCCGGAUUCACUGGGUUUAAAGGGUGCGUAGGUGGGCAGGUAAGUCAGUGGUGAAAUCUCCGGGCUUAACUCGGAAACUGCCAUUGAUACUAUCUUUCUUGAAUACCGUGGAGGUCAGCGGAAUAUGUCAUGUAGCGGUGAAAUGCUUAGAUAUGACAUAGAACACCAAUUGCGAAGGCAGCUGGCUACACGAAUAUUGACACUGAUGACAC
rnacentral:rRNA from 1 species